UUUCCGUAGGUGAACCUGCGGAAGGAUCAUUACCGAGUGAGGGCCCUCUGGGUCCAACCUCCCACCCGUGUUUAUCGUACCUUGUUGCUUCGGCGGGCCCGCCUCACGGCCGCCGGGGGGCACCCGCCCCCGGGCCCGCGCCCGCCGAAGACACCAUUGAACGCUGUCUGAAGAUUGCAAUCUGAGCAUCUUAGCUAAAUCAGUUAAAACUUUCAACAACGGAUCUCUUGGUUCCG
rnacentral:misc_RNA from 1 species